AACUUUUCCCCAGCCACAAGUAACAAGACAGAUGCCCUGACAUUUCCUAAUUCCUGUCCUCCCAAGUCAGUAUCAUCCAGGGAAAAAAUAAAAUAAAAUAAAUCAUGACUUUUCACCACUGCAAUGAAAGUGUGGAAUCAGCUUCGAUCAAAGAGGAGAAAGAUUUCCUGAACUUAAGGAACUACAUCAUAACUCAAGAUAAAAAGCUUUAACACCUUCACUCCUCAGAACAGAAAGCACCUAACCUCAAUCAGCAGUCUUAUUAAGAGUUUCUAGCUUGGCCUAGUUGUGUAACAGAAUCUUCCAAACAAGCUUUUUCAUCCAAAACAGACAUCAG
rnacentral:lncRNA from 1 species